GAUGAGGAAUCAAGAGCUGAGCUUCCAUCCCUAAGGGAAGCUUCUCGCUGUGGCUGGGGAAGUUCUGAAGGACACUUGGCUCCUGCAAUCCAUCAAUGGUCCAGUGGGGGAAGGUGGGAG